AUGCAUUCGAGAAACAUAGAAGUUGAUAUAUCUCUUCUUAAAAAAGAAUUUGAAUACAGUCCAUCAUCUGAAUUGGGUUCAUCUUUGAUUGUAGAGGCGGCUGACAUGGUCAACAUAUUUAUCAAAGAAACCCCCUGGCUUUUGAAGAAUUGUACUUUAUACAUCUGGAUCUGCACAUCCAGGCAAAGGUCAGAAAUAUCCGUUUAUUCUUUUAACCACACGGAUGUCUCUAUUUUUGGAAGAGCAAGGAAAUAUAUAAAUGCCUGGGUUGUAUUUGUGCUGUAGUUGCAAACACCGAGCAGUUAAGAAGAUUUUGCCGAAUUUUGCAAAGCAGCCAACAAACCGCCUUGGGAUCGUGGUAAUGCGACUGGGAAGACCUUUGCUCUCAUUUGGCAAUAUUUUGGAUAUCCUUGAAAAUGACACCAAAAUAUGCCUUAAUUUGACUAAGAAGAGGUUAAACAAUAUUGGUAUUCAUCCAAAGUGAUUUUUUUUUUUAAAGCAGAUGCUUGGCUUUCAUGGAAAAAAUGGGAGUUGUGGAAGAUUCAUUUAAACUACCAACCAAAAGCAUCCUAGACCACUGAAAUAGUCUGCAUCGUACAUCAGCACUUUCUUUUCAUCUUUAUUACGUAAAACCUCUGGAAGCACCUUGGGCGGUUUACAUUUUCUUUUCUUUGCUACAGAAGCAGUCCCUUCCAUGGAAUUCUGACCUGUGGUGAACAGGACCCUGGCAAAGGCUCUGCUGGGGACUCUAGGAAGAUCCCGCCUCCGAUCCAGCCUGGUUAAUUGUGAAAAGUGUACACAUUUCUGGCUUAUCUAUGCUUUGUUAUGGGUCUGACGUGAAACUACCUCCUCCCCAGCCCACCCCCCAGCAGAGCACCAAAAUCCAGUUGAAUUGUUACAGUGUUUCGGAGCUGGAGCCUUGAACUGCUUCCUUGGUCAAAUAACUUUGUUUCUGUGUAAAAAGGCAUUUCAGGGGUGGAAAAAAAAGGAAAAUCGAGAGAAAUUCAAAACGUAAGUCUGUACUGGGGUGGUUCACCGCGCGGAUUUAACUUUGGAGUUCCCAGUCAGGCUCCUUCCCCACUCCCAAAAGGGAAAUACCAAGCUAUUCUGCACGUUUACGCUUAAGCUUCAUUUUCCAAAGGAAAAGGGGGAGGGGUGUAUCUAUUUAGGCUUGAUAAUGUCUUAAAAAUGCUUUUCUUUGAGAUGAUAAUAGCUAUAGCGGUAAAAUGCAAAUAAAGCAAAAAAUAGGCAAUAUUCCUUUAAAGGC
ensembl:lncRNA